rnacentral:rRNA from 1 species
CAGCACCCCGAGUGGUCGGGACGAUUAUUGGGCCUAAAGCAUCCGUAGCCGGUUCUACAAGUCUUCCGUUAAAUCCACCUGCUUAACAGAUGGGCCGCGGAGGAUACUAUAAGACUAGGAGGCAGGAGAGGCAAGCGGUACUCAGUGGGUAGGGGUAAAAUCCGUUGAUCCAUUGAAGACCACCAGUGGCGAAGGCGGCUUGCCAGAAUGCGCUCGACGGUGAGGGAUGAAAGCUGGGGGAGCAAACCGGAUUAGAGACCCGAGUAGUCC